AUUGGUCUUAGGCUAAGCCAUGCACGUCUAAGUACAAACUAAAUGAUGGUGAAACUGCAAAUGGCUCAUUACAACGGUUAUGAUGUACCCGGGAGUUCCGAUGGAUAUUUCCAGUAACACUAGAACUAAUACAUGUCCCUGCGUUUAUUAGUUUCGCACAGUCCGUCGCUGAGUCAUGGUAAACAGUUGAUCGACUCGACGUCCCGGAACAGUUUCCGCCCCAUCAGCUUCGAUGGUUGGGUAUUGGCCUACCAUUGCAACAACGGGUAACGAGGAAUUAGGGUUUGAUUUCGGAGAGGGAGCCUGAGAAACGGCUACCACAUCUACGGAUGGCAGCAGGCGCGCAAAUUACCCAAUGCAGACACUGUGAGGUAGUGACGAGAAAUAAUAAAGCGGGACUUCUGUUUCGCUAUUAUAAUGAGGAAUAACCAAAGGUCAUUCCGAUUAGCAACUGAUGGGAAAGUCUGGUGCCAGCAGCCGCGGUAAUACCAGCGUCAGUA
rnacentral:rRNA from 1 species